UACGUAGGGGGCGAGCGUUAUCCGGAAUGACUGGGCGUAAAGGGUGCGUAGGUGGUUUGAUAAGUUGGUAGCGUAAUUCCGAGGCUCAACCUCGGCGCUACUACCAAAACUGUCGGACUUGAGUGCAGGAGGGGCAAAUGGAAUUCCUUGUGUAGCGGUGAAAUGCGUAGAUAUAAGGAAGAACACCAGUGGCGAAGGCGGAUAACUGGACGGCAACUGACGGUGAGGCGCGAAAGUGUGGGGAGCAAACAGG
rnacentral:rRNA from 1 species